rnacentral:rRNA from 1 species
CCCGCUGAACUUAAGCAUAUCAAUAAGCGGAGGAAAAGAAACUAACAAGGAUUCCCCUAGUAACUGCGAGUGAAGCGGGAAAAGCUCAAAUUUAAAAUCUGGUGGUCUUUGGCCAUCCGAGUUGUAAUUUAGAGAAGCGUCUUCCGCGCUGGACCAUGCAUAAGUCUCCUGGAAUGGAGCGUCAAAGAGGGUGAGAAUCCCGUCUUGGACCGGCGGUAGGGCCCAUGUGAAACUCCUUCGACGAGUCGAGUUGUUUGGGAAUGCAGCUCAAAAUGGGUGGUAAAUUUCAUCUAAAGCUAAAUAUUGGCCAGAGACCGAUAGCGCACAAGUAGAGUGAUCGAAAGAUGAAAAGCACUUUGAAAAGAGAGUUAAACAGUAUGUGAAAUUGUUGAAAGGGAAGCGCUUACAACCAGACUUGCGCGCGGCGGUUCCCCCUUCCUUUUGGUUGGGCUACUCCGUCGUGUCCAGGCCAACAUCGGUUCUGGGGGUCGGUUAAAGACCCUGGGAAUGUAUCUACCCUUCGGGCGUAGACUUAUAGCUCAGGGUGUCAUGCGACCUCCCGGGACCGAGGAACGCGCUUCGGCUCGGAUGUUGGCGUAAUGGUUGUCAGCGACCCGUCUUGAAACACGG